GGAGGAUUUCCCCGAGUGUCUUCAAUGAAGAGGAGGGGGAGCUGAACGCUGCGCGCACCAACCCAGGCCCGAUGGUUUGUUGGAGAGACUGGACUUGAGAAGGUACAAUCAGGAACCAGCUUCAUUAUUUUCCAAGCACUGCCUUCAACUAGACUCUUUGGAUCACCUUCCCCAAUUGAGAGGAUUUCUUCGCCAAAUCUCAGACACUUUCAGGGUCGCCAGAAAAGCCAGAGUGGAGACUGCAGGGAGUACGGGUUUGAGUGAACUUUGGCUGCUCCAUCAAGCGUGCUGAUCACUGAGGAAAUAACAGGAGACUCACCCAAGUGACUCAUCCCCCAAAUCCAACAGAGAUUCCACUCUUAAAAUUCACUGCAUGGUCUCCACAGACAAGAAGUGAAGGUUCUGCAUUGCUACAGCCUCUCAGUUAAAAGACAGGGAAUCCACAUUUUCCCUCAUUUUACUCUUAGGCUGCCAGUAUGUUUUAUAGUCUCCCACACACUUUUCUUCUCUCAAAAACAUUUUCAAGUUUAAUAAUAUAUUUUUUAAAAGUCAGAUAAUUUUCAGGUAAUAAAAGUCUGGAAUCCUGCAGACUUUAGAAGAAAUAUAAAGAAUUAAAAAAAACCCUCACGUACCGAGCCAUUUACCAUGUCUAUCUAAAAAUUACAGCUACCCAUUAGUAAGUUGCAUUAUAGAAUUGCUAAUAUUGCCUACUUUUUAAAAAGAUUAAAAUAAACUUCUUUGGAAGUGAUGUUAUUUACCAAAAACAACAAGGCAGAAUAAGGCAUAUAUCUAAGUUGGUUUAAAAUUGAAGUAUAUUUUAUGUAAAAUGGGACAUUUUAAAGAAUAAUCUGAACAGGGAAGUCUUUUCCUACAUAAAUAUUUUAUAACUUCGUACUGUAUAAUAUGGGAGUUUUUCCUGUUAAUUUGUGGUUUUGAGAAGUAUAGCUCUUAGUUAAAAAGUACCCAUUUGAAGGUUUCUUAGCUUUCAUUAUGAGGGUACAGUGACCAAAAAAAAUCACGUGUCUCAUAGUAUUCUAUGUACUGCAUGUAGUCUGGUCAAAUGGAAUCAUCUACUUCAAAAGUUAUUGUGAAAGAAAACUGAAAAAGAAUAAAUUGUGUGUAAUUGUGUUAAAGAGUAAGCUUUUACUGAUCAGUUAGAAAAUAACAAAGACAUAUUCGCUGUCUGUGCCUGGGUAAUCAGUGGGGGGUUAGUAAUAUUAUUUUGUACAAGAAAGAAUAUUUUUUAAGUGUGUUAAGUUGUUCUUUACUGAAGGGCAUGAGAACAUUGCAUAAUCUUUAACUCCUGCCAGAGAGGCUUUGUCCCUGGGUAGAACCAGUUUUAUAGUCUAUUCAUGUAUUCAACCAGCAUUUAUUGAAACUCUCUUCUUUUUAUUCACUCUGCUAGGUACAGAGUUUGGGGUGAACCACGUUAGGGGUAAAAAAAUCUCAGGAAAGCACACUGCCUUAAGUAUUGACAAGCUUGAGGAUGGGAGAGUAUAGAGAGACUAUCAUGUAAAUAAUAAAUGAUAAUACAAAGAAGAAUGAGAAGUAGUCAUCAAAGGUAAAAAUGACAUAAUAAUAAGUGCUAAUAUUAGCAUAGUGUUUACUAAUUACCCAUCAUUAACUAAGGAGUUGACUCUGCACAGUGGGUCUUAGGUCAUUUCCCCAGCAUCCAUUCCCCUCUCUGUCUCCAUCUCAUACUUACUGUGCAGUUUAUAGGCAGAUAAAUAUUUUCCAGGGUUUGUAAUCCCCUCUCCUAUGCUACAGUGAUUGGUCCAUUUGAGCAGGUCUGAGCCAAUUAGUAAUUCCUCUGAUCCAGGCAAUGGUUCCAGAAUGGGCUUGUUAUUCACACUGGACAGUGGGACCUGAGAGGUUUUCUAAGA